CAGCUUAGUCAGAAUUUGCUAAGAACUGAACAAGUUGUACCAAUUAAAAAUGCAACUGGAGUUUGGGGAAGGGAGGGCAGCUCAUUUGGCUGGCAUGGUCCAGAAGUUCUUCAUAAAGGACUUUGGAACUUAAACCAGGCAUUGAAGAAUGUGGAGAGUUCCAGCAGGAGAAAAGAGAAUCGUAAACUCGUAUUUGUUAGAAGUGGUUUCUAUGUUCAAAGACCAUUUCCCUAUGUUUCUAUUUUAUAUCCAUGCAUCCAUUGCAUUAUUGUAGGUUGACUUUGAUCAUAGGUUCCAGGAAGUAAAAAGUAAAUUUUCUUUCAUGCUUUUUGACAAGCACCAAGCUCAGCUCAAAGAAUGGAAUUGAUGAUAAUGAAAUUGUAACUUACAGCUUUCUUGUAUAAUAAUUGAAAUAUUUUUGAAAGUGCAAAAAAUUUACAAAGAGGAAAAUAAAAAUGCCUGUAAUUCCACUGUUCAGAGGGCAUUUUCUCAGUGUGGUUCCAUCAUUCAUAAUUUCAUGUGCCCAGAAUGCUAGUCUUGGCUGAGAUUCCAGGAACAACACAGAGGUGAGUCAAGACUGACAUAAUGGACCUGUAGGUUAAAGAGUGGCGAGAAAAGCACUAUCUGAAAAUCAGCAUGGAAUUAUGGAACCAGAGUCAAGACCCAACGGCAAAAUGCAAGUGAAGGCAGCAGUGUGAAGACAGAGAGGCAGAGACCUGGUCCAAAACACUGACACAGAAAGCAAAGGAAGAAGUAUUAAGAUAAGAGUCAAGGAAGCUUUCAACAGAAUGUGCUUUACUGGGCCAGAAAGUUGCCGUCUAGCUCCACCCUCAAUCACUGAAGGAGACAACCUCAGGCAGUUGUAAGAAACACAAACAGAAUGCUGAACCACAGCACCUCUUGGACUUCAGAAACAAGCCUUCCAAAUGCCAAGCUUCAAAAGAAAAUGCUCUUCAGUUCGUCUUUCCUUUGCUAACUUAUGCAGAGAAGUUAUACACCAUUAGAAUGAUCAAAUGCACUGGAGCGAUCCUGUGAACAGUGAAAAGGCAGCUACAGCGUCUCAGCAGAGAAUGCAAGAGAACAUUUUCAGGAUAAUAGAUUUGUUAAUUACUUUGUGGUGAGAGUUUCACAGGUGUAUGUAUAUGUUAAAAUUCAACAAAUUGAGUAGUUUAAAUAUGUGUAGUUUAUUGUACAUCAAUUAUACCACAAUUGCUUUUAAAAAAUAAAUAGAAUGGAAGGGUGA